CAGUGACAGGAUACAGAUUCUCCCAACUUUCAAAGCUAUUUUCAUCCAGAAAAUAUUCAGGGUUUCAGCCAGUUCAAACUCGGGGUUCACCGGAAGAAAACGAAGAGGACUGUUCUGAUAACGAAUAUUAUACUAGAAAGAAUGCAUUUAAUCAUACCGUAGGAACUCAAAACCAACAACAAAGUUUAAAUACUAUUUUUCCAAGCAGAAAUACUCUGUAACCAGCAUGUUUCAGUCAUUAGAACAGUUUAGGCUAAACAACAAACUCCCAUUCUAGAUUUUCUCUUUAUAAAAUAUGUUUCUGUUUUUUAUAAUUAUUUAAGUAAGAUUUUUAUUUGGAAAUGGGCGGUUAUAUCUUUUCGGUUAGAAAGCACUGUACCUACAGUGACAAAUGUUAGAUUUUUUUUUUUCUCAAUAACCAAAAUUGUGUGUAUGUUUAAUAUUUAAAAUUAUCUUGUGUUAAUUUUAAUAUCAAGAAGAUAUUUUUGACUUAGUGAUUUGUUAUGUACAUCUUACAUGAAUAUUCAUGUACAUUAAAAGGUUUAACUGCUUUUCUGACACUUGCAUGGAUAAUGCCGAGUGCGAUAUCAUCAUUUUUUUGCUUAAUAGUAUGAAAAACCAAUACUAAUUAGUUCGUUGCUAAUUUUCUUCGUUACCUAAAGUGUAAAUGACUAAAUGUGUUUUCAUUUUUCAUAACUUUCAACAGAGUACUCAGAAUUAUAAACAUCAAAUUAACCAGUAACUCACUUCUGUCCACCACCUUAUAGUGUUAGUUUUUAAUCCCUAUUUGGAAUGUGUUAAAAAAUAAUAAUACAUGCUGUAUUGGAAAAGAUAGUAAAAUAAGGAAAUAUAUAUCCAUAAAGUUGACAUUCGAGGUUUUGGGUAAGUGUGCUUCCUGAGGUAAAAUGUAGUACCACUUUCCUUUGGAUGACUUUUUUUUAUAUUAGUAUUUACCUUUCUCUUGUACAUAUAAUAAUAGCCUUUUAAAGAAUAAAGUAUC